rnacentral:lncRNA from 1 species
CUCGUGUCACUUUCCCCAUUUUCUCUGUCUGGGAGCUUGGCUUCUCUCUCUCCCGUCUGCAGGUUCAGCUGCACGUGUGACCCUGCAGGAAGAGCCUGAAAUACCGGGAAGUGGGAGAGGACUCUUUGUCAGGAACUGCAGUGACAGGACAAGGGGGAAUGGGAUCAAACUGCAAGAGUUGGAAGAGAUUUGAUGAUGGGAAGAAGUUCUUUAUUGUGAGGGUGGUCAUCCCUGACACAGGGAUAGUGCAGAGAGGCUGUGCAUGCCCCAUCCCCAGGAACAUCCAAGGCCAGGCUGGACAGGCUCCAGAGCAACCUGGUGUGCUGGGAGGUUGCUCAGGUUGAAACCAAGUAAUCCUUAGGGGCCAUUCCAAGCCAACCCAUUCAAGGAUUUGAUCAUUCCACGACCCCCAUCUCUCCAUGUGGCGUGGCCCUGAAACUUCUGUGACAUCACGGCUCCCGGAAUGCUCCAGGUGGAAGGUUCAGGACCUGGAACGCAGCACAACAGACACUUCACCUGCUGCCAGCGGUCAGCGCUCACUCGCACUUUGCUCUGCCCAUCAGUGCUGAGCUGUUGCUGCUGCCUGGGCUUUUCCUGCCUGAAGCCAAUCCCUGCAGGAUGUGCACUGCUGCCCCAGUACAGGUACACUGCCAGGCCAUGGAGGAGAUGGAAGUGGACAUGGUGCUGGAUAAGGAAGAAAUGAUGGAGGUGGACAUGGAAGAGAUUGAUGAGGAAAUGGAAGUCGAUGUGCAGGACCCCAUCGAGGAAAUGGAAGUUGAUGUGCAGGACCCCAUCGAGGACAUGGAAGUUGAUGUGGAGGACCAGAUUGAGUACAUGGAAGUCGAUGUGGAGGACCAGAUUGAGUACAUGGAAGUGGAUGAGACGGAUGAGGAGGAGCCCAUGAUCCUUGGAUAAAGAUGGAGCCCCAGGAGCACUACAAGCAGAUGCUUCCCAUGCCAUGUCCACAGGCAGAGUGUGUCCCCUGACGCCAGGCUGGGGCUGGGCUGGGCGGCCCCGUGCAGGGACACGGUGCCCACAGGGGGCCCUGGAUUGUGGUGGCACAAGCAGCACCCCUGGCCUGCCCUGUGCCUGCCCGGAGCUGUGCCAGCCCUGCCAGCCUCUGGGGCCCAGCAGAGUCCAGCACUGCUGCUGCCUUUCCUCCAGGACUAUAUGGAGAUGUUGGCCAGAGAUGUCACCCCUCUGUAAAUAUGUUUUGAAGUUUGUUAGGUUAUAGGCUCCCAUGUAAAUAUGUUUUGAAGUUUGUUAGGUUAUAGGCUCCCAUGUAAAUAUGUUUUGAAGAUUGUUGUUGUUAUAAGGAUUGUUUUAAUAAAACAUGUUUGUAAAUCCAA